rnacentral:lncRNA from 1 species
UGCUAAUGGGGCAUGAAUAGAUCAAUAACAGAACUUAUAUUUAGUUUUAUUUUAUUGUGCCAAACAUAGUUGCAAACUUGUAGUCGGAGAUGAUGUUUUUAUUCAGCUGUGUUCAUAUUUAUUUUAGCAGUACUCUGGUCAUUAUGUUAUUACUUUGGUUAAGACAUAUUUGAAGUUAAUGAAGGUUUGAGUUCUUAUAUGUGAU